UACGUAGGGUGCGAGCGUUGUCCGGAAUUAUUGGGCGUAAAGGGCCCGUAGGCGGUUUGUCGCGUUGGGAGUGAAAACUCAGGGCUUAACCCUGAGCCUGCUUCCGAUACGGGCAGACUAGAGGUAUGCAGGGGAGAACGGAAUUCCUGGUGUAGCGGUGAAAUGCGCAGAUAUCAGGAGGAACACCGGUGGCGAAGGCGGUUCUCUGGGCAUUACCUGACGCUGAGGAGCGAAAGUGUGGGGAGCGAACAGG
rnacentral:rRNA from 1 species